AUGCAUGGGGGGAGGGAUAAACCCAUGUGGAUGUUGACUUCUGACAGAAAAUUCACUGUCAAAUCACUAUAUAGGUUUCUGAUCAAGUCUGACAUAGGAUUCCCUAGGAAGUUUCUGUGGAAGACUAAAGUUCCUACGAAGAUUAGAUUCUUUCUUUGGCUACUAGCAAGAAAAAGUAUACUCACUAGAGACAAUUUGUUGAAGAGGGGCUGGAAAGGAGAUAAAAAUUGUGUAUUUUGUGGCAAAGAUGAAACGAUAGAUCAUCUGUUUUUUUCUUGCUUAGUAGCAAAAAUCAUCUGGGCUCUAGUGAGAUGUGCAUUUGAUUGA
rnacentral:rRNA from 1 species